rnacentral:lncRNA from 1 species
GUGACAAGUUUGAUGUCCUUUAUUCAAGGGAAAACAAUACACAGGUUGGGGGAGUCCAGUGCCUCACAAGCAGGGGAGCACUGCUCCUGAGGGAUUUGGGGCAAGAGCACAUUCUAUAAAGGCUGGAAGAGGCAAUAUGGAAACAGGGCAUGAGUGGCCAGGGGGUCAGGGAUUUCCUUGGAAGGCCCCAUAAGGUCCUGUUUUCUAGGGUAAGUUGAGCCCGCUAAAGCUGAGUUGGGGGAUUAUGAUGGGUCUAUGCUAGGAUUCCUUGACGAGUGUUUCCCAUAAGUGCAGGCUGACUUAGUUUUAGAUUUGUGACACAGGCCAGGCCACUGAGGUGGCCUCCAUUUUGUGGGUCCCGAUAUACAAGUUAACUUUACCACAGGGUCUGAGGAAUGUUCACUGAGGUACAUUACAGAGGCUGGACUGCUGCAAAUUGCCUUAAUAACUCCUUAAACUCUGUUCUGGAACUAGACACUCUACUUAUAUCUCAGUCAAUAUUUUUGUAUUUAUAGGGCGAAAAACACCAAGCCUUGAGAUGGUACAUUGUGACCACCAUGCUUUCAAAUGGGGGAGCUGUUUUUCCCUCAUGGGGCUGACCAGUAUUCCUGCGAAUGGUUCUGGAGCCCUAUAAGUGUGAUAUUGCUCUUUUAAGCUAUCUUAGUUUCUUAAUAUCACAGGAUUUAACAUGUCAGACCUCGUCAUAAAGGAAAGAGUUUGUAUUGCAUUUGCCAAGUCCUCUUUGUUGAGUAAUUUAACUCAUUAGCCAAAGGAUUAAAGUCCAUGUUUAUUCUUCAAUAUAAUACACAUAUGACAGUUAUACAUCUUUAUAAGGCAAAGAAAUACAACUGAAUGAAACUAUGAUCAGAAAUUUAAAAAAUACCUGAAUAUGCAAUCACAUUAUGAAGAUAUCUUUAUUUCUUAUCUACACUGAUAAACUUUAUCCAAAGGACGCACUGACAUCUACCAGCUGGGACAACUACAAAAUACAUGGAAGUCAAAAUAUGCAUGCUCAGGUCUCAGCUGUUUUCUGGUUUUUUGAGUAAAUAGUAGUUGAGUUAUAAGCCUUCAUGGAAGGUGACACUGCCCAUAUAAAGACCCCUUAUGGAAAACGCACCUGACUAAGUGAAGCUAGGAGAAAAAUACAGCACUUCUAACAUGAGAAACUGUAGGAGAUUUCGUGCUAUGCAAGGACGUCAUCCUAAUCCAGGAAUUCAACAUCCAAUAAGUCCAGCAUCAAGUUUCCUUUAGGACAGAAAGCAAUUUGCCUUUUGGAAAUAUAAUUUUCACCUCCAAGAGGUUUUCGGCAAACAUUGUGAUGGAUAAAAAGAUGAACUUUGAUUCUAACUUAAGAAAAACAGAAAGAAGUGAAAAAAUAAAAAAUACAGGGCUGGCCCCGUGGCGGAGUGGUUGGGUUCGCGCGCUCCGCUGCAGGCGGACCAGUGCUUCGUUGGUUCGAAUCCUGGGCGCGGACAUGGCACUGCUCAUCAGACCACGCUGAGGCAGCGUCCCGCAUGCCACAACUAGAAGGACCCACGAUGAAGAAUAUACAACUAUGUACGGGGGGCUUUGGGGAGAAAAAGGAAAAAAUAAAAUCUUUAAAAAAAAAAAUUUUAAAAAUUAAAAAAUAAAAAAAAAAAUAAAAAAUACAGGACAAAAGCAAGGUAGGGAGCACCAUGGCCCUUGAGAAGUGAGCCCCAGCAGUGCUGUGCCCUAUGCCCAUGACGGAAUUGCUAGGGACGGAGAGCGGAACUGAGGCCACUGACCACAUCGCUGAGGGGCCCUCCUCUCCCUCUCAUUACACUUACACAAAUAAAUUUUCCAAAUGAGAUUCCCUCAACUGGUCUGCAGUCCAAACUGAACAAGGACAUGUAUGAGACUGGCUGGCACCCCUGUCUAAUGGCUGGAGCAGGGGUGGUGGGAGCAGAAGGGGCAAAAAGGAAUGAAAUAAAGAGGAAGACUCUCAUUUCCCUAAUAUUAACCCACAUUUUAAUUCUAAAACAAGAAAAAAUUUUGCUAUACUAAUAUCUAUAAAAAUGGAGAAAAUAUAAGUUCUCACAUCUUUCAAGACACAUUCACAUCAAAGUAUGACAUGAUAAUGACAGCAUGCCUAUUUACAUUUUGAGGAAAGAAGGUAAAAUAAUAUCAAGUCAGACAAAAAGCAACUAAAAACAAACCUACAGGACUCAACAGACAUGAGAGUUACCCAAUUUCAACCUGGAAAUCUUUUCCCCAAGUUACUCAGGUGAGAAUCCAUUCCAGAGGUUUUCAUGCCACAAACUGGGGUGUGGGUCCUAUCUUCCUUGAUUUUUAAAUAGCAACAAAUUCUGGCUAAGUGUUGGUAUCUUACAAAUUACAAAUGUGGGCGUGCUUUUCCCUUAAUAGUUCAUGAGGUUUAUUCCUCUCCAGGCAGUAAAAGGACCCCAUCAGUGCUUAAUUUCCUCCACUUACUAAAAAAAUGGCAACUGCCUAAUGUGAGUGAGUGAAGCCAUAACUUCCAUUAAGAGGGUGGAGGAGAAAUACAGGCUCUCAAAUCCUAAUGACUUCUUGGAAAAAUUGAUCACAAUAGCCCUAGUCUAGCCAGACUCAGCUUCUCUGGGUCCAUGCUCGCAUCUGGUUUGAUUCCCUCGCUUUGCAAAGCCCUCUUUUCCCAUCAGAGCAGCAAUCGACCAAGUUAUGGGCUUCUGCUGGAGCAGCCACACAUUGGCGUGGAGAGAGGAGACAGGAUGAGUAGGAGACAAAUUCUCCCAUUUCACCAUAACUCUAGACUGCAAUAAUCAACUCUGCAAGGCAAACUAUCCCCAACUCUCAUAUAAAAGGCACCCCACUGGCCUGGGGAUGCUUCCCCAAUCCAAAUGUGGAAAUUUAACUACAAAUUCAAAGGAGAUCCAUUUUUAAAGUAGAGUCUCCUUUCUAAACCUCUAAAAGAAAAAACAAACCACACCCACUAACUGCAGGGUCAUCAGUGGAUUAAUUUGGCAAAGAAAUCAUUCCUUCAUUUGGCCUACGCUGUCCCUUCUAUGUGUGGCCGGGCCUGGGGAAAGUUUAUUUGCCAACGUGAGUCAAAGCUAGAUGCACACUGCACAUGUGAAAGACCUCCUGCUCAAUCUGAUAGAGAAUCUACACCACAGGACAGAACACGCCCUUCCACGAGGGGUUUCAAAUCAAACCCUUGUGUCCUAUUUAGCAUCUGAGUGAAUGCCAGCUCUCUGUGGUCUGAGUAGUAUUAAUGCAUGCACUGGCUUGUAUUUUUCUAGACUCGAUGAAUACCAUCAGCUAAAGAUAGCACAGUAAUAUAACACUGCAGUCACAGGGCUUUUUUUUUUUUUUUUUUUUAAGAAAACUAAAUUAAACAUUUUAAGCAUAGUCACAUAACAGGAACAGGAGAAACCAACCUUGGGUAAAUGCAUAGGCCAAAGGAAAAAAGAAAUGCAUGACAGUGUAAGCACAAAUGCUAGAAAGGAGUCAGUCUUACAGCUGGCAUGACCACUAAGCUGGCAUGUGGCCUUCACUACAUUACACAUUUUCUUCUGUUGCUACUCCUCCUUUACCUUACCCAGAGAAUAAGGAUGUUGCACAUAUAGUUAUGUGUGGCCAUGCUGCAAGGAGUCACUAAGUGGAUGUGAGAAAUAAUGGAGAAAAGCCAGUGCAAAUCAAAUCUGCCUUCACUCAUACAGCCACCACGUUAUUCUUACCCCAUAUCAUCACCAUUAUGACAACCAGAGCCCAAAAUAGACAUUAUCAUAAGCUGAUCUCAACACAAUGGUUAUUUGGAAAUGGAAAAUGAAGGAGAGCUUAAGAAGCUGAAUGAUGAGCUUGGAUGUGUACCAGGAGUUAAGCGUGGCUUUGCCUUGUCUCUUCUUAAAGAAAUGGCGUGGCUGUUUCGCUCUUUGGAGGCCCUGUAACCUUCUGUGCUGUAUACAGUAGGGCUCCCUUCGCUUAUUAAACAGCUGUGAGGAGAUGGCACACGACCUCAGGAACAAGAAGGAACUUCCAACUGGAAAUCUUUCUCGUGUAGAAAAAGUGAGCAGAGGUGCUCCCCUUGUCUUCGGCUUCUGAAUGCCCUUUCUUCACAGCCAGGAGCCACAUGAGACUCUGCGGAGCUGAGAUCACUCAUCUUCACAAAAGUUUGAGUUUACCCAGAAACUUGAGUGCUAUUUCCCAGAUCACUUGAACACUGGAAACAAAGCAUUGUCCUUCCUCAGGAUACACAGACCCAUCUCUUCUUGACAACUGCAGUGAGGAAAGCUCUCAGGACUGUCAACAUUAUUCCAAAGGUGGCCAUUUUGAAGACUCACCAUGAACAGAUACCUCUUGCACCGCCUCUCAAAACCAGUGUGUUCCAUGCAGAUGAAGGUUCAAUCAGACGAGAGGAGGGACCACACUGUGAAAAUGCAUGCCACUCAUUUGAAAGUAGAAGCAGCUACUUGGAAGAAACUGAUGCGCUUGGAGGAAAGUUUAGAAUAAAUGGAAGAUAUAAUGGCUGAUGCCUCUUGCCUCAGAAUUCAAAGAAAGCUUAUGUUCCAGAAAGCAAAUUAUUUAUCAGUUGGAUUCACCUGAUUUCAGACCAAAUCAAAAUAAUAAAGUCUGAGAAAUGAUGUGUUGAAGGAUGCACCACACUUAGAAUGUUUUCUGGGGAUAUAAUCACUUGAAAGUCACAAUUUAAUGACUGGAAACAGUUUUCUCCCUCUAAAUACAUCCUCCAGGUUUUAAAAUCCCAAAUAAAUCUCCAGGAUGAUUGCUCUAGUAAUAUGAGAAACAGCAGAAAUAAUGCAUCCCUUGCCCUAGUGACUAAAAUCAAAAAUAAAAAUAGAAAAUACAACCUAAGAUGGCAGGGAAACGGCUUCCCAAGUGGGCACUACCAUAGGGGUGGGGACAUGAGGGCAGGCGGGCAGGGCUGCAGCACUGGGUGCCCUCUGCGCACGGCCAAGGGGCUCAGAGUUCAAGCGUGGCUGCUCCUCUGGCUACGGCCACCAGUCAUCACAGGGGUCAAGGCAACAGAACUGCUGAUUUUUCCAAAAAUCUUCUCGAAGCAGCAGCAACCACAGCAGUUUUCCUGCAAAGCAAACAAAAUAUGACUCUUGUUAAUUCAGCAGCGCUUUUGCAAUUGUCAUUAGUUGGUUGCGCCCCUUAGGAAAACCACACAUGAGUUUUUAUAACAUGUGUGUAUGUGAGAGAAAAAAAGAAACCCCUUGAAGGAUCCCACUGCUUACCAGAGUUGGGUUUUUUUCAGUUUUUGCAAGAUAUUUUAGUACUAUUUGCAAUAUCGAAGGACAAGGCCUCUUUGUUUCCUCUGAAGCACAGCCAACUCCCAAAGUUGCUGCCACCCCGUCCGUUCUGUCAGCUCAAUCCCAGCAUCAAGGGGAGAGUGUGGAUGGCGUGUGCGGAGGUUUCUAUUUGCUUUAUGACCAUGUCUGACCCCAGGCCCGCACGCUGCUUGCUGUCCUACACCAUUCCUACAGAUGUGAGGAGGUGUGCUCCAUCAUGUCUCACAGGUUGGCAAAAGAUGCAACAGAAACAAGAAAUGAAAUGCCACCAGGUUGACUUUUAGAGUGUUUCCUCAACCCAUCAAAAAACCUCUAACAAAUUGCAGGAGAUUUAUAUGCCUCAAUUUACAUUGUGGAUUAUGCCUCAUCCACAGGGCCUGAAAGUCGCUCUUUUUCCACAGGAAUAAUCUUCAACCACCAGAUUUUAAAAAUCAAUAUUAUCUCAAAAUUGGUUUUACUCAUGAUAGAUCUUGCCAAAAUCCCCAUCUUAUCCUGGCAGGAAAUAUUGUGAAGAAUGAUCUUUUCCUUUUUUUU